UCGUUUAGGGAGAGUUCUCAUGAGCAAUAAACUGAAUAUUUAUUAUUUUAUUUCUAUGCGGUAUAGAUAUAAUUUUAUGUUCUCUAGCGGCGAUAUGUAGCACGCAAUUACAGUGUAAUGACCACUUUAUAGCACAUGUGCGCC